rnacentral:rRNA from 1 species
CUAUGCUUAGCCCUAAACUUAGAUAGUUAUCCUAAACAAAACUAUCCGCCAGAGAACUACCAGCAACAGCUUAAAACUCAAAGGACUUGGCGGUGCUUUACAUCCCCCUAGAGGAGCCUGUUCUAUAAUCGAUAAACCCCGAUAUACCUCACCAUCUCUUGCUAAUUCAGCCUAUAUACCGCCAUCUU